UACGGGGGGAGCAAGCGUUGUUCGGAUUUACUGGGCGUAAAGGGCGCGUAGGCGGCCAGCACAAGUCAGUUGUGAAAUCUCCGAGCUUAACUCGGAAAGGUCAACUGAUACUGUGCGGCUAGAGUGCAGAAGGGGCAACUGGAAUUCUCGGUGUAGCGGUGAAAUGCGGAGAUAUCGAGAGGAACACCUGCGGCGAAGGCGGGUUGCUGGGCUGAGACUGACGCUGAGGCGCGAAAGCUAGGGGAGCGAACGGG
rnacentral:rRNA from 1 species